AAGCGGAGGAAAAGAAACUAACAAGGAUUCCCCUAGUAACUGCGAGUGAAGCGGGAAAAGCUCAAAUUUGAAAUCUGAUGGUCUUUGGCCAUCCGAGUUGUAAUCUAGAGAAGUGUUAUCCGCGCUGGACCGUGUAUAAGUCUCCUGGAAUGGGGCGUCAUAGAGGGUGAGAAUCCCGUCUUUGACACGGACUGCCAGGGCUUUGUGAUACACUCUCAAAGAGUCGAGUUGUUUGGGAAUGCAGCUCAAAAUGGGUGGUAAAUUCCAUCUAAAGCUAAAUAUUGGCGAGAGACCGAUAGCGAACAAGUACCGUGAGGGAAAGAUGAAAAGAACUUUGGAAAGAGAGUUAAACAGUACGUGAAAUUGUUGAAAGGGAAACGCUUGAAGUCAGUCGCGUCAGCCAGGGAUCAACCUUACUUUUGUGAGGCGUACUUCCUGGUUGAUGGGUCAGCAUCAGUUUUGGCUGCUGGAUAAAGGUCAGAGAAAUGUGGCACCUCCGGGUGUGUUAUAGUCUCUGAUCAGAUACAGUGGCUGGGACUGAGGAACUCAGCACGCCGCAAGGCCGGGGUUCGCCCACGUUCGUGCUUAGGAUGCUGGCAAAAUGGCUUUAAUCGACCCGUCUUGAAACACGGC
rnacentral:rRNA from 1 species